GAUGAACGCUGGCGGCGUGCCUAAUACAUGCAAGUCGAGCGAACGGACGAGAAGCUUGCUUCUCUGAUGUUAGCGGCGGACGGGUGAGUAACACGUGGAUAACCUACCUAUCAGACUGGGAUAACUUCGGGAAACCGUAGCUAAUACCGGAUAAUAUUUUGAACCGCAUGGUUCAAAAGUGAAAGACGGUCUUGCUGGCACUAAUGGAGGCUUCGCGCUGCAUUAGCUAGGUGGUAAGGUAACGGCUUACCAAGGGCACGAUGGCUUGCCGACCUGAGAGGGUGAUCGGCCACACUGGAACUGAGACACGGUCCAGACUCCUACGGGAGGCAGCAGUAGGGAAUCUUCCGCAAUGGGCGAAAGCCUGACGGAGCAACGCCGCGUGAGUGAUGAAGGUCUUCGGAUCGUAAAACUCUGUUAUUAGUGAAGAACAUAUGUGUAAGUAACUGUGCACAUCUUGACGGUACCUAAUCAGAAAGCCACGGCUAACUACGUG
rnacentral:rRNA from 1 species